rnacentral:rRNA from 1 species
UACAGAGGGUGCGAGCGUUAAUCGGAAUUACUGGGCGUAAAGGGUGCGUAGGUGGUGAUAUGAGUUAUAUGUGAAAUGCCUGGGCUUAACCUGGGACUGGCAUAUAAUACUGUAUGACUAGAGUUAGGUAGAGGGGAGUGGAAUUUCUGGUGUAGCGGUGAAAUGCGUAGAUAUCAGAAGGAACACCGGUGGCGAAGGCGGCUCCCUGGACUGAAACUGACACUGAGGCACGAAAGCGUGGGUAGCAAACAGG